rnacentral:rRNA from 1 species
CUGCCCCCCGCAGGGGGAUAACCGGGAGAAAUCCCGACUAAUACCGCGUAACGCCGCGGACCUGCAUGGGUCUGCGGCCAAAGGAAGCGAUUCCGGCGGGGGAUGGGCAUGCGGCGCAUUAGCUAGUCGGCGGGGUAACGGCCCACCGAGGCGACGAUGCGUAGGGGUUCUGAGAGGAAGGUCCCCCACACUGGUACUGAGACACGGACCAGACUCCUACGGGAGGCAGCAGUGAGGAAUAUUGGUCAAUGGGCGGGAGCCUGAACCAGCCAAGUCGCGUGAGGGAAGACGGUCCUACGGAUUGUAAACCUCUUUUGCCGGGGAGCAACGGGGUCCUUGCGAGGGCCCAAUGAGAGUACCCGGAGAAAAAGCAUCGGCUAACUCCGUGCCAGCAGCCGCGGUAAUACGGAGGAUGCGAGCGUUAUCCGGAUUUAUUGGGUUUAAAGGGUGCGUAGGCGGGCUGUUAAGUCAGCGGUCAAAUGUCGGGGCUCAACCCCGGCCUGCCGUUGAAACUGGCGGCCUCGAGUGGGCGAGAAGUAUGCGGAAUGCGUGGUGUAGCGGUGAAAUGCAUAGAUAUCACGCAGAACUCCGAUUGCGAAGGCAGCAUACCGGCGCCCGACUGACGCUGAGGCACGAAAGCGUGGGUAUCGAACAGGAUUAGAUACCCUGGUAGUCCACGCAGUAAACGAUGA